rnacentral:misc_RNA from 1 species
GCAAACUAAGAAAUCAAGGAUGAGACAAUAAAGGGAUAUUUAUUCAACUGCUGAGCUAGUCACAACAUUAACAAAUUCAACAAAAUAUGGAUUAUGAUUUCAAUAUGUCAUUUAAACUAACAGUAAUGAUGAAACAAAAGUUCAAAUUCUGAUAACCUCUAUGAAUUUAGAACAUCACAAGAACCAAAAAAAAGUCUCCAACAUCCUCCAA